rnacentral:rRNA from 1 species
GACGAACGCUGGCGGCGUGCCUAAUACAUGCAAGUUGAGCGCUUAAGGUUGGUCCUUGUUCCUACUUGAUGAGCAGCGAACGGGUUAGUAACGCGUGGGGAAUCUGCCUUUGAGCGGGGGACAACAUUUGGAAACGAAUGCUAAUACCGCAUAACAACUUUAAACACAAGUUUUAUGUUUGAAAGAUGCCAUUGCAUCACUCAAAGAUGAUCCCGCGUUGUAUUAGCUAGUUGGUGAGGUAAAGGCUCACCAAGGCGAUGAUACAUAGCCGACCUGAGAGGGUGAUCGGCCACAGUGGGACUGUGACACGGCCCAAACGCCUACGGGAGGCAGCAGUAGAGAGUCUUCGGCAAUGGACGAAAGUCGGACCGAGAAAAGCCGCGUGAGUGAAGAAGGUGUACGGAUCGUAAAACAAUGUUGGUAGGGAAGAACGGUGGUGAGAGUGGAAAGGGCAAAAAGUGACGGUAACUACCCAGAAAGGGACGGCUAACUACGUG